rnacentral:pre_miRNA from 1 species
UAGUUACUCCCUCCGUCCGAAAAUACUUGUCAUCAAAAUGGACAAAAAAGGAUGUAUCUAAAACUAAAAUACAUCUAGAUACAUCCCCUUUUAUUCGUUUUGAUGACAAGUAUUUUCGGGCGGAGGGAGUACAAG